GACGAACGCUGGCGGCGUGCCUAAUACAUGCAAGUAGAACGCACAGUUUAUACCGUAGCUUGCUACACCAUAGACUGUGAGUUGCGAACGGGUGAGUAACGCGUAGGUAACCUGCCUGGCAGCGGGGGAUAACUAUUGGAAACGAUAGCUAAUACCGCAUAAUAUUAAUUAUUGCAUGAUAAUUAAUUGAAAGGUGCAAUUGCACCACUACCAGAUGGACCUGCGUUGUAUUAGCUAGUAGGUGAGGUAACGGCUCACCUAGGCGACGAUACAUAGCCGACCUGAGAGGGUGAUCGGCCACACUGGGACUGAGACACGGCCCAGACUCCUACGGGGGGCAGCAGUAGGGAAUCUUCGGCAAUGGACGAAAGUCUGACCGAGCAACGCCGCGUGAGUGAAGAAGGUUUUCGGAUCGUAAAGCUCUGUUGUAAGAGAAGAACGGGUGUGAGAGUGGAAAGUUCACACUGUGACGGUAUCUUACCAGAAAGGGACGGCUAACUACGUG
rnacentral:rRNA from 1 species